rnacentral:rRNA from 1 species
CGGAGAUAGCUGGUUCUCCUCGAAAGCUAUUUAGGUAGCGCCUCGUGUAUUACUGUUGGGGGUAGAGCACUGUUUCGGCUAGGGGGUCAUCCCGACUUACCAAACCGAUGCAAACUCCGAAUACCAAUGAGUACGAGCAUGGGAGACAGACUGCGGGUGCUAACGUCCGUAGUCGAGAGGGAAACAACCCAGACUGUCAGCUAAGGUCCCAAAUUAUGAUUAAGUGGGAAACAAUGUGGGAAGGCACAAACAGCUAGGAGGUUGGCUUAGAAGCAGCCAUCCUUUAAAGAAAGCGUAAUAGCUCACUAGUCGAGUCGGCCUGCGUGGAAGAUAUAACGGGGCUAAAUCAUAAACCGAAGCUACAGAUCUUGUUUCAAGAUGGUAGAAGAGCGUUCUGUAAGCCGCUGAAGGCAAGCUGUGAGGCGAGCUGGAGGUAUCAGAAGUGCGAAUGUUGACAUGAGUAACGAUCAAAGAGGUGAAAAACCUCUUCGCCGAAAAACCAAGGGUUCCUGUCCAACGCUAAUCGUGGCAGGGUGAGUCGGCUCCUAAGGCGAGGGCGAAAGCCGUAGUCGAUGGAAAACAGGUUAAUAUUCCUGUACUUCUUAUAAUUGCGAUGGGGUGACGGAGAAGGUUAGGCUAGCACGGCGACGGUUGUCCGUGUUUAAGGUUGUAGGCUGGUGUUUUAGGUAAAUCCGGAACACUAAGGCUGAGAACUGAUGACGACCACUCUAUGAGUGGGAAGUAGUCGAUACCAUGCUUCCAGGAAAAACCUCUAAGCUUCAGGUUGUAAGAAACCGUACCCUAAACCGACACAGGUGGUUAGGUCGAGUAGACCAAGGUGUUUGAGAGAACUAUGGUGAAGGAACUAGGCAAAAUAGCACCGUAACUUCGGGAGAAGGUGCGCCGCGUUUGGUGACAAGACUUGCUCUUAGAGCUGAACGUGGUCGAAGAUACCAGGUGGCUGCGACUGUUUACUAAAAACAUAGCACUCUGCAAACUCGUAAGAGGAAGUAUAGGGUGUGACGCCUGCCCGGUGCCGGAAGGUUAAUUGAUGGGGUUAGCUUAGGCGAAGCUCUUGAUAGAAGCCCCGGUAAACGGCGGCCGUAACUAUAACGGUCCUAAGGUAGCGAAAUUCCUUGUCGGGUAAGUUCCGACCUGCACGAAUGGCGUAACGAUGGCCACACUGUCUCGACCCAGGACUCAGUGAAAUUGAAUUUGCGGUGAAGAUGCCGUAUACGCGCGGCUAGACGGAAAGACCCCGUGCACCUUUACUAUAGGUUCACACUGGACUUUGACUUUAUUUGUGUAGGAUAGGUGGGAGACUUUGAAGCCGAGACGCUAGUCUUGGUGGAGUCGUCCUUGAAAUACCACCCUUGUAAAGUUGAGGCUCUAACUUAGGUCCGUAAUCCGGAUCGAGGACAGUGUGUGCUGGGUAGUUUGACUGGGGCGGUCUCCUCCCAAAGAGUAACGGAGGAGUACGAAGGUAUCCUUAUCACGGUCGGACAUCGUGAGGUAAGUAUAAAGGCAGAAGGAUGCUUGACUGCGAGAUCGACGGAUCGAGCAGGUAGGAAACUAGGUCUUAGUGAUCCGGUGGUUCUGAAUGGAAGGGCCAUCGCUCAACGGAUAAAAGGUACGCCGGGGAUAACAGGCUGAUACUGCCCAAGAGUCCAUAUCGACGGCAGUGUUUGGCACCUCGAUGUCGGCUCAUCUCAUCCUGGGGCUGGAGCAGGUCCCAAGGGUAUGGCUGUUCGCCAUUUAAAGUGGUACGCGAGCUGGGUUUAGAACGUCGUGAGACAGUUCGGUCCCUAUCUGCCGUGCGCGUUGGAGAUUUGAGAGGAUCUGCUCCUAGUACGAGAGGACCGGAGUGGACGAACCUCUGGUGUUCCGGUUGUCACGCCAGUGGCAUUGCCGGGUAGCUAUGUUCGGAAAGGAUAACCGCUGAAAGCAUAUAAGCGGGAAGCCUCUCCCAAGAUUAAAUCUCCCAGAGACUUUAUGUCUCCUAAAGAGUCGUCAUAGACUAUGACGUUGAUAGGCAAGAUGUGUAAGCGUUGUGAGGCGUUGAGCUAACUUGUACUAAUAACUCGUGAGGCUUGAUCAU